AUGACGACGUCUCCUCUAGGACCUGACAGU
rnacentral:antisense_RNA from 1 species